GCUCCUAUAGCUCAGUUGGUUAGAGUAGAAGACUCAUAAUCUUUGGUCACUGGUUCGAGCCCAGUUGGGAGCA
rnacentral:tRNA from 1 species